AGUAUUCAAUUGUCAGAGGUGAAAUUCUUGGAUUUAUUGAAGACUAACUACUGCGAAAGCAUUUGCCAAGGAUGUUUUCAUUAAUCAGUGAACGAAAGUUAGGGGAUCGAAGACGAUCAGAUACCGUCGUAGUCUUAACCAUAAACUAUGCCGACUAGGGAUCGGGCGAUGUUAUCUUUUUGACUCGCUCGG
rnacentral:rRNA from 1 species